GUUGGGCCAAGCGCGCCAAGAAGCCCAAAACGUUUGCACCAAGCCCAAAUAUAGCCGCCGCCCCGACCAGUUUUCCCCAAACCCUCGUCCCCAACCGCCGCCGCCGCCGCCGCCCCCACGACCAAGCCCUCCACCGCCGAGGUCCUCCGCCCACGACCGCAACUUCCACCGCCGAGCCCCUCCGCCCACGACCGCAACUUCCACCGCCGACUCCCUCCGCCGCAGGUUCCCACCAUCCUCGUCCUCGCCAAGGUCGACGCCGAGCGCCGCCUGGUCCCCGCACGAGCUCACGCGCAGCAAGCACGCGCCACUCCCCCAUGGCGUCGUCGCCGCAGCCUAUCCUCAACGCCGCCCCUGCUGCUGGCCCUCACCGGCCGAGCGCCUCGCCACUGGUCCGCCGCCCGACCUCCUUCCACCUCUGCGCCCAUGGACGGCCUCCACCCCGCGACUCUGGUCAUCGACGCCUCGCCUAGCCUGCGCCACGGCCCGUGGCCGCUGCACCACCACCGCGUCGGAGCAUCCCCGUCCUUGCCCUAGGUCGCCGGCCUUGUUCUUCCUUGUCCAGUAGAUCGAGGCCAGCAUUGCCCCAGAUCGGCCAGCUCUUAAGCCUCCUCCACCGCCUGUUGCUGCUUUGCUCCUCUGGCGGCUGCAGCAAGAGCCAUUCCUGCUGUUGGCUCUCUCCUCCACUGACUACCAGCCAGAAAAAUCCAUCGCAAGGUAAGCCUCUCAUGAUGCAUUCUUUUUUCGGCAGUAUGAUGUAUGCAUCGAUUGUAUGAGCCAGAAAAAACAUUUGAAUUGAAUUGAUGUAUGUCCAGGAGCUUGGGGUCAUCUCUCAUGCAAUGUAUUUGAUUUGGUUUUGAUGUAUGACUGUAUGACAGAUUGACCCUCUCCCACUUCUGCAUUUUUUUAAUUAUAGAUCAAAUUAACGAAUACAUUCAGUUUCUUUGGGAUGAUGCACCUAAAUAUAGUCAAGUGUGUAGUGAUUAGAAAUUUUGGAUGCUUUGGGGCAUUUUUCAGAUGAUCUAUGUGCCUAUUCAGGUUAUCAAAAAGAAUAAUGUGCCUAUUUAGACCAGUUAUAACAGGAAGGUGUUUUAAGUGUAAAUAUCAAGGAACCACAAUUGUUUGGGCAUAGGUUCUAGAAAGCACAAUUUUUGGGCAAAACAAAUCACUUAACUGCAACAAUUGGGGCGGAGACCUCGAGCUAGCUAUUCUUGUGCAGGGGUUGCACCGCUGCUUCAUCUCGUCCUUACAGAACGACUCCACUCAGGCAACUAAAAACCCAUAAGGCACAUACUUGGUCUUUCUUCUACUUUAAGCACCUCUACUUUGAGCACGUUGCUCAGUCCAAGGCAAGUUCUUUGUCCAAUUUUAUGCUUACAAAUCCUGUCUAAUAUUUUGAACCAUUACAAUGUGUUAUGUGCAUGUGGUGGAGAGGAUGUGAAUGGAUCUGAUGGAGCAGUGGAGCUCCUAUCAAGCCUGAUGCACUUUACUCUGGUGGAUAGUACUCUGGUUUGAGUCAUGUUCAGAUAAAAAAAGACCCAAAAGUGAAAAAUGUGCUGCACUAUAACAAUCUCAUCGAAUGCCUUGAUCUUCAUCUUACAGAAAUUGAUUUGAUCGACUACCGAGGCAGCACAUCUGAGAUUAAAUUGGCCAGGUUCUUUGUUCUGGAGGCAAGUGUGCUCAAGGUAAUAAGGUUUGUCGUUCUUUGGCACAACAAUGAAUGGCGUGCUGAUCACCGCAAGCGUCUAAGUCUAAAUGACAAAGUCAUCGCAGAAGCUGAUUUUUUUUUGAAACAUCAAGUGGCCAGAGACUCGAAAACUUAUUUGCCCAUUAGUGACUUGUCAGGGCGGUGGAUUUUAGUUUGUACGAUAAUGCUGCAUCCACCUAAAGUAACGAAAGUUCUCACGUAAACUUCCUAGUAAUUCCCUCUUCAUAGGUGUAGCAUUACUCCUAACAUUUGUAAUAUCAGUUUGAAACUUGUAAUAUUGUCGUGUCCUAUUUCUGUGUUUUCAAAA